rnacentral:rRNA from 1 species
AAUCCAUAGGUUAAUGAGGCGAACCGGGGGAACUGAAACAUCUAAGUACCCCGAGGAAAAGAAAUCAACCGAGAUUCCCCCAGUAGCGGCGAGCGAACGGGGAGGAGCCCAGAGCCUGAAUCAGCAUGUGUGUUAGUGGAAGCGUCUGGAAAGGCGCGCGAUACAGGGUGACAGCCCCGUACACAAAAGCGCAUGUGCUGUGAGCUCGAUGAGUAGGGCGGGACACGUGGUAUCCUGUCUGAAUAUGGGGGGACCAUCCUCCAAGGCUAAAUACUCCUGACUGACCGAUAGUGAACCAGUACCGUGAGGGAAAGGCGAAAAGAACCCCGGCGAGGGGAGUGAAAAAGAGCCUGAAACCGUGUACGUACAAGCAGUGGGAGCACCCUUCGGGGUGUGACUGCGUACCUUUUGUAUAAUGGGUCAGCGACUUAUAUUCUGUAGCAAGGUUAACCGUAUAGGGGAGCCGGAGGGAAACCGAGUCUUAAUUGGGCGUUAAGUUGCAGGGUAUAGACCCGAAACCCGGUGAUCUAGCCAUGGGCAGGUUGAAGGUUGGGUAACACUAACUGGAGGACCGAACCGACUAAUGUUGAAAAAUUAGCGGAUGACCUGUGGCUGGGGGUGAAAGGCCAAUCAAACCGGGAGAUAGCUGGUUCUCCCCGAAAGCUAUUUAGGUAGCGCCUCGUGAAUUCAUCUCCGGGGGUAGAGCACUGUUUCGGCUAGGGGGCCAUCCCGGCUUACCAACCCGAUGCAAACUGCGAAUACCGGAGAAUGUUAUCACGGGAGACACACGGCGGGUGCUAACGUCCGUCGUGAAGAGGGAAACAACCCAGACCGCCAGCUAAGGUCCCAAAGUCAUGGUUAAGUGGGAAACGAUGUGGGAAGGCCCAGACAGCCAGGAUGUUGGCUUAGAAGCAGCCAUCAUUUAAAGAAAGCGUAAUAGCUCACUGGUCGAGUCGGCCUGCGCGGAAGAUGUAACGGGGCUAAACCAUGCACCGAAGCUGCGGCAGCGAACGUAUCACCCAAGACAACUUUACGGAGUUGACGAUUGACGGAGCGAAGCGACGUCAAAGCGUUCAUUAAAGUCGAGUUGGCUUAGGGAUACGUUCGUUGGGUAGGGGAGCGUUCUGUAAGCCUGUGAAGGUGUGUCGUGAGGCAUGCUGGAGGUAUCAGAAGUGCGAAUGCUGACAUAAGUAACGAUAAAGCGGGUGAAAAGCCCGCUCGCCGGAAGACCAAGGGUUCCUGUCCAACGUUAAUCGGGGCAGGGUGAGUCGACCCCUAAGGCGAGGCCGAAAGGCGUAGUCGAUGGGAAACGGGUUAAUAUUCCCGUACUUGGUGUUACUGCGAAGGGGGGACGGAGAAGGCUAUGUUGGCCGGGCGACGGUUGUCCCGGUUUAAGCGUGUAGGUGUGUGUUCCAGGUAAAUCCGGUUCACUUUAACACUGAGGCGUGACGACGAGGCACUACGGUGCUGAAGCAACAAAUGCCCUGCUUCCAGGAAAAGCCUCUAAGCAUCAGGUAACAUCAAAUCGUACCCCAAACCGACACAGGUGGUCAGGUAGAGAAUACCAAGGCGCUUGAGAGAACUCGGGUGAAGGAACUAGGCAAAAUGGUGCCGUAACUUCGGGAGAAGGCACGCUGACACGUAGGUGAAGUGAUUUACUCAUGGAGCUGAAGUCAGUCGAAGAUACCAGCUGGCUGCAACUGUUUAUUAAAAACACAGCACUGUGCAAACACGAAAGUGGACGUAUACGGUGUGACGCCUGCCCGGUGCCGGAAGGUUAAUUGAUGGGGUCAGCGCAAGCGAAGCUCCUGAUCGAAGCCCCGGUAAACGGCGGCCGUAACUAUAACGGUCCUAAGGUAGCGAAAUUCCUUGUCGGGUAAGUUCCGACCUGCACGAAUGGCGUAAUGAUGGCCAGGCUGUCUCCACCCGAGACUCAGUGAAAUUGAACUCGCUGUGAAGAUGCAGUGUACCCGCGGCAAGACGGAAAGACCCCGUGAACCUUUACUAUAGCUUGACACUGAACAUUGAGCCUUGAUGUGUAGGAUAGGUGGGAGGCUUUGAAGUGUGGACGCCAGUCUGCAUGGAGCCGACCUUGAAAUACCACCCUUUAAUGUUUGAUGUUCUAACGUGGACCCGUAAUCCGGGUUGCGGACAGUGUCUGGUGGGUAGUUUGACUGGGGCGGUCUCCUCCUAAAGAGUAACGGAGGAGCACGAAGGUUGGCUAAUCCUGGUCGGACAUCAGGAGGUUAGUGCAAUGGCAUAAGCCAGCUUGACUGCGAGCGUGACGGCGCGAGCAGGUGCGAAAGCAGGUCAUAGUGAUCCGGUGGUUCUGAAUGGAAGGGCCAUCGCUCAACGGAUAAAAGGUACUCCGGGGAUAACAGGCUGAUACCGCCCAAGAGUUCAUAUCGACGGCGGUGUUUGGCACCUCGAUGUCGGCUCAUCACAUCCUGGGGCUGAAGUAGGUCCCAAGGGUAUGGCUGUUCGCCAUUUAAAGUGGUACGCGAGCUGGGUUUAGAACGUCGUGAGACAGUUCGGUCCCUAUCUGCCGUGGGCGCUGGAGAACUGAGGGGGGCUGCUCCUAGUACGAGAGGACCGGAGUGGACGCAUCACUGGUGUUCGGGUUGUCAUGCCAAUGGCACUGCCCGGUAGCUAAAUGCGGAAGAGAUAAGUGCUGAAAGCAUCUAAGCACGAAACUUGCCCCGAGAUGAGUUCUCCCUGAGACUUAGAGUCUCCUGAAGGAACGUUGAAGACGACGACGUUGAUAGGCCGGGUGUGUAAGCGCAGCGAUGCGUUGAGCUAACCGGUACUAAUGAACCGUGAGGCUUAACCUUACA